CCUACGGGUGGCAGCAGUGAGGAAUAUUGGUCAAUGGACGAGAGUCUGAACCAGCCAAGUAGCGUGAAGGAUGACUGCCCUAUGGGUUGUAAACUUCUUUUAUAUGGGAAUAAAAUGUUCCACGUGUGGGCUUUUGUAUGUACCAUAUGAAUAAGGAUCGGCUAACUCCGUGCCAGCAGCCGCGGUAAUACGGAGGAUCCGAGCGUUAUCCGGAUUUAUUGGGUUUAAAGGGGGCGUAGGUGGAUUGUUAAGUCAGUUGUGAAAGUUUGCGGCUCAACCGUAAAAUUGCAGUUGAAACUGGCAGUCUUGAGUACAGUAGAGGUGGGCGGAAGUCGUGGUGUAGCGGUGAAAUGCUUAGAUAUCACGAAGAACUCCGAUUGCGAAGGCAGCUCACUGGACUGCAACUGACACUGAGGCUCGAAAGUGUGGGUAUCAAACAGGAUUAGAUACCCGUGUAGUC
rnacentral:rRNA from 1 species